rnacentral:rRNA from 1 species
AAACUUAAAGGAAAUUGACGGGGACCCGCACAAGCGGUGGAUGAUGUGGAUUAAUUCGAUGCAACGCGAAGAACCUUACCUGGUCUUGACAUAGUAAGAACUUUCCAGAGAUGGAUUGGUGCCUUCGGGAACUUACAUACAGGUGCUGCAUGGCUGUCGUCAGCUCGUGUCGUGAGAUGUUGGGUUAAGUCCCGCAACGAGCGCAACCCUUAUCAUUAGUUGCUACGAAAGGGCACUCUAAUGGGACUGCCGGUGACAAACCGGAGGAAAGGUGGGGAUGACGUCAAGUCCUCAUGGCCCUUAUAGGUGGGGCUACACACGUCAUACAAUGGCCGGUACAGAGGGUAGCCAACCCGCGAGGGGGAGCCAAUCCCACAAAGCCGGUCGUAGUCCGGAUCGCAGUCUGCAACUCGACUGCGUGAAGUCGGAAUCGCUAGUAAUCGCGGAUCAGCAUGUCGCGGUGAAUACGUUCCCGGGUCUU